UACGUAGGGUGCGAGCGUGAAUCGGAAUUACUGGGCGUAAAGCGUGCGCAGGCGGUGAGCUGUGUCCGAUGUGAAAGCCCCGGGCUUAACCUGGGAAUGGCAUUGGAAACUGGCUCGCUGGAGUGUGGCAGAGGGGGGUGGAAUUCCGCGUGUAGCAGUGAAAUGCGUAGAGAUGCGGAGGAACACCGAUGGCGAAGGCAGCCCCCUGGGCUAACACUGACGCUCAGGCACGAAAGCGUGGGGAGCAAACAGG
rnacentral:rRNA from 1 species